rnacentral:lncRNA from 1 species
UCUAACCGGCUUUGGCUAAGGCAAUAAAGGCAUAAUAAAAUAAAAGGCUUUUUUGAGAUCAGAUUCAGAUCUAAAACUGAGAGCGAGAGACUGAGAGUCCUCAAAGAGACAAGGACGAGUCGCCGACUGUGUAGUCCACGAAUAUCUAGACUGUCUAGACCUGGUAAAAACUAUACUACUAUCAGUCACUAUAUAUCCAGAGAGAGAAAGAGAGAAUGAGAGCCGAAAAGAUCUGGCUCUUCAUCACUCUCGGCCUCUCGCUCUUCAAUUCUUCAUCAACUAAAACCGUCGACCACACUCUCGCUCUUCAUCAAAUGAAACCUCGCAUCGUGUAAGUUCUCAGAAUCUCAUUUCUCUUUAAAAUUAUUUCCUCAUCUCUUUCGCUAACGAGUUUAUUCGUUUCAUGCUAGGCAGCUAAUCUAGGACUUUCCUAAAAAUCUGAUUUCCGAUCUAUUCAUAGCAAAGUUCGGUGGCAUUAGAUCGUGUGGGGGCUUAUCUGGAUUUUGAAGUUAUGAUCUGCAACGGCGGUUGCUUGGGGCUAUUUGGAGUUUCAGAUCUUGGUGGCUUUUCUGGGAAUGGGUUUGUGGAAGAGGGAUUCGUUGAUCUGGUUUUGUUUAUUCCUGUUCAUUUUUUUCAUAAAUCAAAUCUUGAACUGCUUCUUUUAAUGUUCAGAUUUGGAGUUUCAUUACUGGUUCUGUGUUUGAAAUAUAUUUUAUCUAAUCGAUUUUGUAAUUUGUUCAUGGUGUCAUCUCAGUUUGAUUUGGACUUUAAUGUUGAUUUAUUUUUUAAAUUUGGUUGAUUUGGUGUUCUAUUUUGUUGGGGAAAAAUCUGUUUUAAUUUUAUUUUGUUUGAUUUGCUCUGAUAUUGGAUGUCUUGCUAGUUAUUAUCUUUUGGGGAUGAUAUUGGAUGUCUUGCUAGUUAUUAUCUUUUUAUGCUUGCUGGCGUUCAUGGUGUUCGACGACCUUUCGUUGCAGCUGUAAUUGAUUGUUCAUGGUGUCUGGUUUUAUGUUUGUAGUAAUUGAUUGUUCAUUUACAGAUUAUUUUUUUUAAAAAAAAUGAAAAAAUCCGCGGGCCGGCCCAACUCGGACCACGGACCGCUUAAUUUUAGCCCACCAAAAUUCGAGCUAUUUUAACCCGGCCCGUCAAUAGCCCGACCUGCCGAUAAUCCGAUCCGUUUGCCAGGUCUAAUCAUAAACAACACCUCGUGGUGUGACUGAAUCCGGGCACGGCGGGCUCUAACCCUCUACAGGAUACCAGGUCUAGAUAUUGAUUCGAAGCUGAUAUCUCCAGCUGAUUUUUUGAUUCAGCGCUGAUUGUACAAUUAUACCCCUAUAUGUAAUAAAUAUAUUGGGUUUAGUGGUGCAACAUAUUUGAUGGUAUUUUAAGGGUACAAAAUUUCAUAAUAGUAAAUUUUAGCCCAAUCAAUGGAAUCAAAGUUUAUAAAUAAUAAUUUGUCCUUUAGAGAAAGGAGAGUUAUAGGUGGAUAAUUAUAUAUCACAAUUCAUUAACCCAAAUAUUAAUAAAAAUUACUCCCUCGUUCCCGUCUUGUGUAUGCUCAUAAAAUAGAUUCUUAAUCUUAAAAUAAUUUAUUUGUUCAAGUUGAAUUAUAAGUUUAAAAUAAAAAAUUUAUCUAGUUUAAAAUUUUUUGCAAUAUGCGUAAUUACCAAUUAGUGGCGUUAAUUACUCAUAAACUGAACAUAAUUACAAUGUCACUGAUUUUGUUAAUGAAUUAUGGAAGAAGAGUACACGAAAAGUUAAGAGAAUGAAUGAUCACAAGAAAUUAGUUUGAAUUUUCCUCAGAAAAAUCAUCACUAUAUAUAUGUAUUUUUAAGUAUACAUGCAAUCUUUGCAGAUAAUUAACAUGUCAAUUUCACUUGAAGCUCUUGCCAUGGCUGCAGGCGCUGAUUAUCUUGAGUGUGGCAUGACAAUCGAAGAAUGGGAACGUCUGGACAUGGAGACUCCUCCUCAUUUAUUAGCUGAAGAAGAAGAAGAAGAAAGUUAUUAUCAUCGAAUUCCCAUUAUUCGAUCCUCACAACUAGACGAAGGUCGAAGCGGACGAUGCGAUAUAAGAGUAGGGUUGUAUAGCACAAUGAGGAAAAACAAUAUAGUUAUGAGCUCCAUAGGGAUUAUGAUGACCACCAUAAUCAGGUUUUGGGUGGCCUUAAGAAUUAAGAUUAAUAGGUGGUUUCAUGUAUAUACAUACUGAAUACUGAUGAUGAGCUUGUUAUAUAUAUAAUAUAGUGAAUGCUUAACCCUACGGAAAACCCUAAUUUGCCUUCACCCUCCUAAUCAAAGUGCUUCUGAUGGAGCUUAUUUCUCUCUGCA